GGAAAGGGAAAAAUCCCUGAAAAACUAGACUGGAGAUGUUGGGGAGGGCGGGAAAGGGAAAAAUCCCUGAAAAACUAGACUGGAGAUGUUGGGGGGGCAGGGAAAAAUCCCUAAAAAACUAGACUGGAGAUGUUGGGGAGGGCGGGAAAGGGAAAAAUCCCUGAAAAACUAGACUGGAGAUGUUGAGGGUGGGGAGGGAAAAAUCCCUAAAAACUAGACUGGAGAUGUUGGGGGGGAAGGGAUAAACCCCUGAAAAACUAGACGGGAUGUGUUUGGAUGAGAGUCUCUCUGGCCAGGAAUGGUCAAUUGGGACCCAGCUAGUUGAAUUGCUGCAUGGAAUUUGCACAGAUGCUGUGUAGCUUCUGACCUUGAACUUCACCAGCAUGGCUGUUAAUGAGUUUCCAGCUGAAGGGGUCGCUCCUGUGAUCUGUGGGACAAUUCUGCACCUGAGCCGCUAUUUCUCUUUCUCCCCGUCAGUCUUGAAGGAAAGGAAUAUUGUUAAGCUUCUCAGCUGCUGCUGGUUGAGCUACCACCCAGGAAGGACUGAUGCCUCCUUUUUCACAAAGUUAUUCAGGACAUGUUUUCUUCUAGAAAUGAACAUUUUGCUUCCUUUCCAAACUGCAGUACUGCACUUCAGAACUCACAGGAAUACUUGAUGUAUAGGAGAC
rnacentral:lncRNA from 1 species